rnacentral:misc_RNA from 1 species
UCUCCGUAGGUGAACCUGCGGAGGGAUCAUUAACACGUGCCCAAAAAACACGUUUCCAACCCAACAACCCGUGAACUAGAAACAACUCCCUUCAUAGUGUGACCGAGCGAAUAAUCAUCAGGGUGGAGUGAGAGAUACAUGGGAGGGAGAACAAUCAGCAGCACCACAAACGCUGUUGACUCUGCCUCUCCUCUCACUAUGACUCGUUCUAGGGGUCCUUGAGACUCCAAUCCGCUAUGAAGUGUCAUUUGCCGCCACCUGGUAGUCUGCUCGAUUGGCAGCAUGCUUUACGCAUGUUUUCCAAUCAAGCAGCGUUCUGCCGAAAACAUUUCACACAACACAUUUUUAACCCCUUUAACAACAUACUAAAAACUGAACCUUUUUUUGUUCUCAUGUUGUAUAUAUGCACUUGUGCAUAUAACGCGUUGAGCUCAAAAAGAUAUACGUAAUGCUGAACAACUCUUAGCAAUGGAUAUCUUGGUUCUC